rnacentral:rRNA from 1 species
UACGGAGGGUGCAAGCGUUGUCCGGAAUCACUGGGCGUAAAGGGCGCGUAGGCGGCUCAUGAAGGCUGUGGUGAAAGUCCGGGGCUCAACCUCGGAUCGGCCGUGGCGACUCGUGGGCUGGAGCACUGUAGAGGCGGGUGGGAAUUCCGGGUGUAGCGGUGGAAUGCGUAGAGAUCCGGAAGAACACCAGUGGCGAAGGCGGCCCGCUGGGCAGUGGCUGACGCUGAGGCGCGACAGGCGUGGGGAGCAAACAGG